UCGGGAAUUUUGGGCAAUGGGCGAAAGCCUGACCCAGCAACGCCGCGUGAGGGAUGAAGUAUUUCGGUAUGUAAACCUCGAAAGAAUGGGAAGAAUGAAUGACGGUACCAUUUAUAAGCUCCGGCUAACUACGUGCCAGCAGCCGCGGUAAUACGUAGGGAGCAAGCGUUGUUCGGAUUUACUGGGCGUAAAGGGCGCGUAGGCGGCGCGGUAAGUCACUUGUGAAAUCUCUGAGCUUAACUCAGAACGGCCAAGUGAUACUGCUGUGCUAGAGUGCGGAAGAGGCAACCGGAAUUCUUGGUGUAGCGGUGAAAUGCGUAGAUAUCAAGAGGAACACCUGAGGCGAAGGCGGGUUGCUGGGCCGACACUGACGCUGAUGCGCGAAAGCCAGGGGAGCAAACG
rnacentral:rRNA from 1 species